UUCUUGCUCUCGACGAUGGCAACGAUAAGCCUCGAAGUUUUGACAAAUUUAAGAACCUGCCGAAGCUUCCUUUAGUAAAAGCCAGUGUUUUGGGUACGUGGUAUGUUGAUGCUGCGGAACUGGAAGCGAAAGUUAUGGGAAACGAGAAGAAGAUUGAAGUGAAAAACAUGGAGGAGUGGAAGAAACUGGUGCAGAAGAAGAGGGAGCUUGGGGAGAGAUUAAUGGCGCAAUAUGCACAAGAUUAUGAGGCUUCGAGGGGGAAGAGUGGAGAUAUUAGGAUGUUGGUCACCACACAAAGGUCGGGUACUGCUGCUGAUAAGGUUUCGGCAUUUUCAGUCAUGGUAGGGGAUAAUCCAGUUGCCAAUUUG
rnacentral:misc_RNA from 1 species